rnacentral:tRNA from 1 species
AAUAAAAUGCCUGAAAAAGGGUUACUUUGAUAGAGUAAAUCAUGUAUUAUUAAUACUUUUAUUA